rnacentral:rRNA from 1 species
GACGAACGCUGGCGGCGUGCCUAACACAUGCAAGUCGAACGAGGCGUUCGGGAAUCUUGCCGCUCUCGAUCGUAACGCCUGAGGGCCUGGCCAUGGGUACGCAAUAACUCCCCGAGAGGGGUGCUAAAGCCGGAAACUGUCUUCAGACCCACAAUUGAUCGACUUUGGAUGGGCCUGCGUUAGAUUAGCUAGCUGGUACGGUAAAGGCCUACCAAGGGGACGGGCCAUAGCUGGUCUGAGAGGAUGAUCGGCCACACUGGGACUGAGACACGGCCCAGACCCCUACGGGAGGCAGCAGGUCGGAAUAAUGGACACCGGGCGAGAGCCGGCGCCAGCCAUGCCGCGUGAGUGAUUAAGGCCUUAGGGUUGGACAUCUCGUGAACCCGGGAAGAGAAUGACAGUACCGGGAGAAUAAGCCCCGGCUAACUCCGUG